rnacentral:rRNA from 1 species
UACGGGGGGGGCAAGCGUUGUUCGGAAUUACUGGGCGUAAAGGGCUCGUAGGUGGCCAACUAAGUCAUACGUGAAAUCCCUCGGCUUAACCGGGGAACUGCGUCUGAUACUGGAUGGCUUGAGUUUGGGAGAGGGAUGCGGAAUUCCAGGUGUAGCGGUGAAAUGCGUAGAUAUCUGGAGGAACACCGGUGGCGAAGGCGGCAUCCUGGACCAAUACUGACGCUCAUGCACGAAAGCGUGGGGAGCAAACAGG